rnacentral:rRNA from 1 species
CAGUCGCCGCGGGAACACGAAGGGGGCUAGCGUUGCUCGGAAUGACUGGGCGUAAAGGGCGCGUAGGCGGCUGUUACAGUCAGUCGUGAAAUUCCUGGGCUCAACCUGGGGGCUGCGUUUGAUACGUGAUGGCUUGAGUUCGGAAGAGGGUCGUGGAAUUCCCAGUGUAGAGGUGAAAUUCGUAGAUAUUGGGAAGAACACCGGUGGCGAAGGCGGCGACCUGGUCCGAUACUGACGCUGAGGCGCGAAAGCGUGGGGAGCAAACAGGAUUAGAUACCCGCGUAGUCCCUGUCUCUUAUAC